rnacentral:lncRNA from 1 species
GGAAAUGGAGAUGAGGUGUUUCCUGCAUAUCAGUCUCCUCGCAAACCUGGCUGGUUCUCUUUGGACUUGGAUGUGCCAGAGGCAAUAACAGCUGCCUCUUGGAGCUCAUGGGGAUGGAUGUGAUAUCAAAUCACCCAGCUCUGCAUUCACUUGGUGUGUAGGAAGACCUCAAAAAAUGGGGGCUCCUCCUCCUCACCUGCACUGGGGGAAUGGAAUGAGCAGAAGGGCCAAGAAGAUCUCUGCACCUUGUGGAAUCAGUCAACAGCCUGGCUGGGACACAUCCCCACCCCUGUGCCCCAAUCCCCCACCAUGGCUGCUGCCAUCUCCUCCAUCAUUAAGGUGCCAAUGGGCGCCCCAGACAGCCCAAAUCUAUGCAGACUUCCCCAUUCCCCAUCCAGGGCCUCCACACCCCCAGGAGUAUGUGACAGGGCUGACCUGUGGUGGCCCAGGGAAGCAGAUGGCUUUGUCUCAGGGACUUUUUGCCUACUUUGUGGAGGCAAACAAACUAACAUCCCUGCCUUGCUGGCUGAGGUAUGGAUAAAAUGCUGUAAGACAGUGGUGGUGAACGUAUGGCAUAUGUGCCGCAGUGGGCUGUUUGUUAUCAUUGAAAGCUCUAAAAGGUUCGCCGUCACUGCACUAGGACAUCUGCGCACCUGCCAUGGUUCUUGAUCAAUGUGGGUGUUGUACUAAUAGUAACAAUCACUUGUUGGGCAUUUACCACAUACAAACUUUCCUAUAUUGCAUUAUUUCAUGGAGGCCUCUACCUAAGAGCUAGGUCCCACUUAUUACAUGUUUUAUAGAUGAUGAAGGUGAAGCAUGAAGAGAUAAGUAGCUUGUCUAGGUGCCAGAGCUGGGAAGUACUAGAGCUUGGAAUGGGUACCCCUGGGAUCUGUGCCUGCAGAGCAGAUCAUCUUCCUUAGCUGAAGAAGGUGAGUGGGGAGGACUGCCAGAGUUCAGCAUCCCACAUCUAGGAAGAAAGGCCACAGGGAGACGCAAAGUAUCUGUCCUGGGAGUCCUGUGCCUCGAGGAAGAUGAGGAUUCAGCUGCUGGUCAGGUUCCCUGGGGCUGAGGAACACUGCAGGACAACACACUUGAUCUUAGCCAAAAGGCCAAGAAGUGGGGACGCAGAAUACAGCCCUGUGACUGACUGAGUAAGUUUAUCUGUCAGAAUGGGAAGGGUUUCCAGAGGGAUCUGCACAGGUCUGGGCAUGUUCGGUUCAGGUGUUCCUGGCACCUUAUUACUGUGCAGGAACAGGAGAUUUGGAGUGAGUCAUGAGGAUCUUUACAUGCCACACCAAGUAACUUGUAAUUUUUUUCUAGGAGUGCAGGGUUUUAGAGCAGGAGAGUUUGGGGGCAGGGCUAGAUCCAUUGUUAUGAAAGAUUCUAGCAGGCAGGACCCAGGGUGGACUGUAGGUGGGGUCUGAGGAGAGACAUUCCAAAUGAGAAAUGAUGGAGCAAGAAUGAGGCAGUGAAGGGGUGAGGUCUGCACCCCUAGCAUCUGUAGGUUCUGUUGGCUCCCUGCCCAGGAUCACCUGUGCACCAUUGGGUCUUUCCUACAUACAGAGCCACUGCCCUGCAGACCUUUCCACAAUGGACAAAUAGAUGGCUAUAGAGAGCCUUUUUUUUUUUUUUGGUACUGGGGAUCGAAAUCGGGACCUUUCACUUUCGAGGCAGGCAGCAGAACCACUGAUCUAAAUCCCGGGCCUAGAGAGCCUUUUUGCCACCUGAGCCAUGUGCUUUGAGAGCAUUUAAAAAAAAAAAACCAAUUGUUUUUUGAGAUUUUUUUUGUUUUUUAGGAAAAGCAAUUUUUGAUGCCAGCAUUAACAUGUACAAAGCUUGGAGGCCAUCAUUCCCAUGCUUAUAAAGAGAAAAAAGCUCAAUGAACUGAAAGGGAAUCGCUUAUCUUGGACCCAUGGGGGAAAGGAGGUUGCAGGGCAAACUGCCAUCCCAAAAUCUAGAGACAAAUGCACUCACAGCCACCAUUGGCUUCUUUAGACCAGAAGCAGCUGGAGCCACAAACUAGUAGGAAAAAAAAUUUUUUUUUUUUUUGUACUGGGGAUUGAACUUGAGACCUUACGCUUGUGAGGCAGGCAGCAGAACCACUGAGCUAAAUCCCUGGCCCUACUAGUAGGGAAAUUUAAAUGGUGAUUUUGACAAGUUGAUGGAGGCUAAACGUGGCUUCAUGGCAUAUAGUCAAGAUAAAUCUCCAUUUGUCUCUAGCAAGGAAAAGUAGAAAGUAAACAUUUAAAAAUAUGUUCUAGGCUAGAUGCUGUAGCACAUCCCUGUAAUCCCAGCUACUUGGGAGGCUGAGGCAGGAGGAUAGCUUGAAUCUAGGAGUUUAGGGCCAGCCUGAGACUCCCUCUCAAAACAAAAAAACCUUAUCAGAGCCAUCUCACCCAUAGUUAGAACAAGUUCUCAACAGCGGCUACAUUUAACCUUCCUCAGGAGGAUGGGAAGACAUCCCAUCCUCACAGGUAUCUCUUUGAGUCAUAAUCCAGGACUCAGAUGCACUAAAAAGGUGAUUUAACUAUAAAAUUACAAAAUACUUCCCUUUCCCUAAACCUUACCAUCAUAUCAACAGGGCUCCACUAUAACAGUAGCAGAUUAUAACAAAGAGCUUCAAGACAGACUGAUUGAAGAAAUUCUUAGGGAAACUCAAAGACAACAGAGUAGACAAAACAAAGGACACUAGAGGAAUUUAAACAUGGCGGGUAAAGUUAGAGGAAACAAACUCAGUCUGACUCCUAAAUAAAACACCAAGUCUCCACUAAAUCUUUACUUACCUCAGUUCCUUUACCUUCAUGCUAAAAGGCAAGAAAAAAAAAUAGUCUACAGAGACAAAGCAAGCAUAGAACUAAGUUCAGAUAUGAUACAGAUUUUGGAAUUAUCAGCCAGGAAAUUUUAAAUAACUGUCUAAUAUAUUAAGGGCUCUGAUGGAAAAAGUAGACAGCACACAAGAACAGAUGAGUAAUAUAAGCAGGUGAGAACUCAGAGUGAAUGGAGAUGCUAGAAGUAAAACCACUGUAAUAGAGAUGAAGAAUGCCCUUGAUGAGAUCAUAAAUAGACUGGACACAGCUGAGGGAAAAAUUGGCGAUUCUAAAGAUAUGAUGGAAAUGUACCCAACUGAACUGCAAAAAGAGAAGAGAAUUUUUUUAAAGAAGCACAAUAAGCCAAGUGUGCUGGUGCAUGCCUACAAUCCUAGCAAUUGGGAAGCCGAGGCAGGAGAAUCCCACUGAGUUUGGGGGGCAGGGCUCCUGAGCUACAUAGUGAGACCCUGUCUCAACAACAACAGCAACAAACUGUAAAAAGGUAUAACAUACAAACUAUUGGAACACCACAGAUGAAGAAAGGGAGAACAGAGCAGGAGAAAUAUUUUAAAUAAUAAUGGCUGAUAAUUUUCUAAAAUUAAUGGGAGAUACUAAACUACAAGCCUAGUAAGCUUAGGAACACUAAUUAGUAUUAAUACCAAAUUAGUAUUAAUUAGUAUUAAUACCCCCCAAAAACUCCACAUACAAAAAAACACAAACAACCAAGAAAACCCCCAAACCCAAGACAAAAAUUCAAUACCUAGACAUCUAUUCAAAUUAUAGAAAAUAAAAAACAGCCGAGUGUGGUGGUGCACACCUGUGAUUCCAGCACUUGGGAGGAUGAAGCAAGAGGAUCACUGCAAAUUCAAGGGCAGCCUGGGCUAAUAGUGAGUUCAAGGCCGGCCUGAACUACAUACUGAGAACUUGUCUCGAAAAACCCCAAGAUAAAUAAAUAACAAAAAAUAUUGAAGAAACCACCAAAAAGCCCAGAUUACGUACAGAAGAAACAGGAACCUGACUUCUUGGCAGACACCAUGCAAGCAAGAAGAAAGGGGAGUGAAAAAAGGAUUUUUUUUACUGUGUUGGGGAUGAAGCCAGAACCUCAGGCAUGCCAGGCAAGCACUUCUCACUGAGCUGUACCCUUAGUCCUCAGAAUAUUUUAGGUGUUGAAAGAAAAAAACCUCAUCAACUUAGAAUUCUAUAUCCAGCCAAAGUAUUUUCCAAAAGUAUAUGUAGUAAAGGUCACUCAAUUUUAUGCUUAAGAUGAUUUAAAUGGUAAAGUUUAGUUAUAAAAAUGUUAUUUUAAAAAAGAAAUAAAAACUUUAUCAAACAAAAAAAUGAAAUUUAUUUCCAGCAGACACACCCUGCAAGAUAUGUGAAAAGAAGUUCUUUAGUAAAAAAGAAAAUGACAUAGGUCUGAAACUCAGAUCUAUAUUAAGAAAGGAAAUGUGUUGAAAAAGAAUAAAGACUUUCAGAAUCAAGCGAUUCCUGGCCAAGAAGCAAAGCAGAAUCGUCCCAUUCCUCAAUGGAUUCGGAUGAAGACUGGUAAUAAAAUCAGGUACAACUCCAAGAGGAGACACUGGAGGAGGACCAAGCUGGGACUGUAAAGAAUUGAACAUGUGAUGCAGCAUAUUUUUCUCCCGAGAGUCACAAAAUGAUACAUUCUUUGUCACGGUCGAGAUUACCCUAUCAAGCUAAUACAAUUGGCUGGACAGUUGAAUGUGCUUAAUCAGGAAUCUUGUUCUGUGAUUGCACUGAGUCAAC